AUCCCAUGGUGCGGACACACUAGGAUGUACUCCUAAAGCCGCUCCCAAGCUUCAGGAAUGGUCUCAUUAGACGCUUGCUGAAAACUCGAAAUCGUUCCAAGGAGGGC